rnacentral:rRNA from 1 species
GAUGAACGCUGGCGGCGUGCCUAAUACAUGCAAGUCGAGCGAACGGACGAGAAGCUUGCUUCUCUGAUGUUAGCGGCGGACGGGUGAGUAACACGUGGAUAACCUACCUAUAAGACUGGGAUAACUUCGGGAAACCGGAGCUAAUGCCGGAUAAUAUUUUGAACCGCAUGGUUCAAAAGUGAAAGACGGUCUUGCUGUCACUUAUAGAUGGAUCCGCGCUGCAUUAGCUAGUUGGUAAGGUAACGGCUUACCAAGGCAACGAUGCAUAGCCGACCUGAGAGGGUGAUCGGCCACACUGGAACUGAGACACGGUCCAGACUCCUACGGGAGGCAGCAGUAGGGAAUCUUCCGCAAUGGGCGCAAGCCUGACGGAGCAACGCCGCGUGAGUGAUGAAGGUCUUCGGAUCGUAAAACUCUGUUAUUAGGGAAGAACAUAUGUGUAAGUAACUGUGCACAUCUUGACGGUACCUAAUCAGAAAGCCACGGCUAACUACGUG